rfam:Otolemur garnettii contig169566, whole genome shotgun sequence.
GCACCCGUAGCUCAGUGGAUAGGGCACUGGCCACAUGCACCAGGGCUGGUGGGUUCAAACCCCACCAGGGGCA